rnacentral:tRNA from 1 species
GAGGGUGUAGCUCAGUGGUAGAGUAUGUGCUUUAGCAUGCAUGAGGUCCUGGGUUCGGUCCCCAGUACCUCCA